CCUACGGGAGGCAGCAGUGGGGGAUAUUGCACAAUGGGGGGAACCCUGAUGCAGCGACGCCGCGUGGGUGAAGGAGUGCUUCGGCAUGUAAAGCUCUAUCAGCAGGGAAGAAAAUGACGGUACCUGAGUAAGAAGCCCCGGCUAACUACGUGCCAGCAGCCGCGGUAAUACAUAGGGGGCAAGCGUUAUCCGGAUUUACUGGGUGAAAAGGGAGCGUAGACGGCAGUGCAAGUCUGGGGUGAAAGGCGGGGGCUCAACCCCCGGACUGCUCUGGAAACUGUACGGCUGGAGUGCAGGAGUGGUAGGUGGAAUUCCGGGUGUAGCGGUGAAAUGCGUAGAUAUUAGGAGGAACACCAGUGGCGAAGGCGGCUUACUGGACUGUAACUGACGUUGAGGCUCGAAAGCGUGGGGAGCAAACAGGAUUAGAUACCCGGUAGUC
rnacentral:rRNA from 1 species